GACGAACGCUGGCGGCGUGCCUAAUACAUGCAAGUUGAGCGCUGAAGGUUGGUACUUGUACCGACUGGAUGAGCAGCGAACGGGUGAGUAACGCGUGGGGAAUCUGCCUUUGAGCGGGGGACAACAUUUGGAAACGAAUGCUAAUACCGCAUAAAAACUUUAAACACAAGUUUUAAGUUUGAAAGAUGCAAUUGCAUCACUCAAAGAUGAUCCCGCGUUGUAUUAGCUAGUUGGUGAGGUAAAGGCUCACCAAGGCGAUGAUACAUAGCCGACCUGAGAGGGUGAUCGGCCACAUUGGGACUGAGACACGGCCCAAACUCCUACGGGAGGCAGCAGUAGGGAAUCUUCGGCAAUGGACGAAAGUCUGACCGAGCAACGCCGCGUGAGGGAAGAAGGUUUUCGGAUCGUAAAACCCUGCUGGUAGAGAAGAACGUUGGUGAGAGUGGAAAGCUCAUCAAGUGACGGUAACUACCCAGAAAGGGACGGCUAACUACGUG
rnacentral:rRNA from 1 species